rnacentral:misc_RNA from 1 species
AAGAUUAUGUGCUCAUCUUAAUAACUAAAACAACAAACUCAUUUAUUUAGUAACAAAAGCUCCAGCCUAACGUUAUUUUGACAUACAUCUUGAGAAGUAACUGGAGGUUGGAUAUUCCAAUUCACUUCUUCAACAGCCUUAUGCAACACUCAAAUUUGCAGUGACCUCAAGGUCUUGAAGUUGCAAGUAUGUUGGUUGCUGAGUUGAUAUUUUCCAUUUUCACAUGUUAAAAAAUGUUUAACUUAGAUUAAAUUUUGUAGAAAUUGCCCAAUUGCAGUUUGGGCAUGGUUUUUGAGGAGGCUAUUUUACAAUAUAAAUUCUUGUUUUUCUUGAGUAUCUUGUUAGGGAAAACCCAACUGCUUUCACGUACUGUACUAUUUUUGCAGUCCUAGUGCAUUACGAAAGAAUUUGUUAGGCAAUAUAUUUAUUAGACCACAAGAAGGGAAUUUCUGGAAAAAUACUAAGCAUUGUGUUUAAAU